rnacentral:rRNA from 1 species
AUUGAACGCUGGCGGCAGGCCUAACACAUGCAAGUCGAGCGAGCGGCGGACGGGUGAGUAAUGUCUGGGAAACUGCCUGAUGGGGGGGGAUAACUACUGGAAACGGUAGCUAAUACCGCAUCACAUCAGAGGUGCCCAGAUGGGAUUAGCUAGUAGGUGGGGUAAAGGCUCACCUAGGCGACGAUCCCUAGCUGGUCUGAUAGGAGGACCAGUCACACUGGAACUGAGACACGGUCCAGACUCUUAAGGGAGGCAGAAGUGGGGACUAUUGCACAAUGGGUGCUAGCCUGAUGCAGCCAUGCCGCGUGUGUGAAGAAGGCCUUCGGGUUGUAAAGCACUUUCAGCGGGGAGGCGUUACCCGCAGAAGAAGCACCGGCUAACUCCGUGCCAGCCGCCGCGGUAAUAC